GACGAACGCUGGCGGCGUGCCUAAUACAUGCAAGUUGAGCGCUGAAGGUUGGUACUUGUACCAACUGGAUGAGCAGCGAACGGGUGAGUAACGCGUGGGGAAUCUGCCUUUGAGCGGGGGACAACAUUUGGAAACGAAUGCUAAUACCGCAUAAAAACUUUAAACACAAGUUUUAAGUUUGAAAGAUGCAAUUGCAUCACUCAAAGAUGAUCCCGCGUUGUAUUAGCUAGUUGGUGAGGUAAAGGCUCACCAAGGCGAUGAUACAUAGCCGACCUGAGAGGGUGAUCGGCCACAGUGGGACUGAGACACGGCCCAAACUCCUACGGGAGGCAGCAGUAGGGAAUCUUCGGCAAUGGACGAAAGUCUGACCGAGCAACGCCGCGUGAGUGAAGAAGGGUUUCGGAUCGUAAAACUCGGUUGGUAGAGAAGAACGUUGGUGAGAGUGGAAAGCUCAUCAAGUGACGGUAACUACCCAGAAAGGGACGGCUAACUACGUG
rnacentral:rRNA from 1 species